CAGAUGAUGGUGGUCAUUCCAUAGAUGAUGUAGUUGGCCAUGGUUCCUAUGCAACCGUCUGCAGCAAUGAAAAGGACAAUUAGAGAUACCCAAACAUAAUCUUGCAGCAGAACCAACCAAAUUAAGUGCAGCAAAGAUCAUCGGGUUACGUCUUUCAACAUUGAUAUGCGGCACUAACCACCUAAGGAGGUCGCAAACUAAGCAUUCUGUCAGCAGUCUUAUUCUGCAAUUCAUAGGAUAUUAACUCAGCAAUACCCAAGUGAGGAGCAAGAAGCCUAGCCCACAAGAAAAGGUGGAAAGGACAGCAGCAGCCGUUGAGAAAGACCACUGAGGAGGAUCAGCACAAAAUUUUUGGAUGCCAUAUAGGCUGAUAUGCUAUUGGAGUCCUGCUUAGUCUAUAGUCUGUUGGCUUUGUCCACAGAGGUAUUCAGCUGAAGAUUUAGGAAAGAAAAAAUCUCAAGCAGUCUGGUUUUGGU